GACGAACGCUGGCGGCGUGCUUAACACAUGCAAGUCGAACGGAAAGGCCCUGCUUGCCGGGUACUCGAGUGGCGAACGGGUGAGUAACACGUGGGUGAUCUGCCCUGCACUUCGGGAUAAGCCUGGGAAACUGGGUCUAAUACCGGAUAGGAGCCAUUUUUAGUGUGAUGGUUGGAAAGUUUUUUCGGUGUAGGAUGAGCUCGCGGCCUAUCAGCUUGUUGGUGGGGUAAUGGCCUACCAAGGCGGCGACGGGUAGCCGGCCUGAGAGGGUGGACGGCCAAGGGUGGCAUGAGGGGCGGCGCAGCGUGCGAGGGGGGGGAGCAGUGGGGUAUAGUGAAGAGGGGGCACAGGGCUGGUGCGGGGACGUCGGGUGGGGGAUGACGGCCUGAGGGUUGUAACUGCUUGUGGCUGGAGAUAAUGUGUGUUGUGAAGGUACAGAGAAAAGAAGCACCGCAAAAGGACGAGACAGCAGCCGCGGGAAUACUCGGAAGCGAAAACGUCUGAAC
rnacentral:rRNA from 1 species